UACGGAGGGUGCGAGCGUUGUCCGGAAUCACUGGGCGUAAAGGGCGCGUAGGUGGCGCGGGCAGUCAACGGUGAAAGUUCGGGGCUCAACCCUGAAUCGGCCGUCGAUACUCCCGGGCUUGAGCACUGUAGAGGCAGAUGGAAUUCCGGGUGUAGCGGUGGAAUGCGUAGAGAUCCGGAAGAACACCGGUGGCGAAGGCGGGUCUCUGGGCCGAUACUGACGCUGAGGUGCGAAAGCGUGGGGAGCAAACAGG
rnacentral:rRNA from 1 species